rnacentral:rRNA from 1 species
UACAGAGGGUGCGAGCGUUAAUCGGAAUUACUGGGCGUAAAGCGCGCGUAGGCGGCUUUGCAAGUCGGGUGUGAAAUCCCCAGGCUUAACCUGGGAACUGCAUUCGAGACUGCACUUGCUAGAGUAUGGGAGAGGGAAGUGGAAUUUCCGGUGUAGCGGUGAAAUGCGUAGAUAUCCGGAGGAACACCGGUGGCGAAGGCGGCUUCCUGGACCGACACUGACGCUGAGGCGCGAAAGCGUGGGGAGCAAACAGG